UACGGAGGAUGCGAGCGUUAUCCGGAUUUAUUGGGUUUAAAGGGUGCGUAGGCGGGAUGCCAAGUCAGCGGUAAAAAUGCGGUGCUCAACGCCGUCGAGCCGUUGAAACUAGCGUUCUUGAGUGAGCGAGAAGUAUGCGGAAUGCGUGGUGUAGCGGUGAAAUGCGUAGAUAUAUGGAGGAACACCGGUGGCGAAAGCGGCUCUCUGGCCUGUAACUGACACUGAGGCUCGAAAGCGUGGGGAGCAAACAGG
rnacentral:rRNA from 1 species